rnacentral:lncRNA from 1 species
AAGUGGUCUUUCUUUACUAAUUAGUUAUGUGCAAUUAUUAUGCUACAGCGACAGCUACUCCCAUACUCAACCCCAGGACGACGACUUCACUGAUUUUUUGAAUUGGCGUUCUUAUCCCCACAAUCGCUUUUGGGAUACAAGUCUUUGAAGCCAUUUCAAACAUGCAGCAAGUACAAUGGAUUCAAGACUUGUCAAUUCUUGAUUCUCGAGGCAUUUUCUCCAUCUCUUUCUACUCUGGAAAAGCAUGGACACUUUAAGUUGAUCAUAUCAUAACAUUUCUUCUGCCGAAAUCGUUAACUUAUCACGGAUUUGGCUCUUCAUUUCCUGCUCCAGUCGAACCAUGUUCUUCUCACGCCUGGCUCUAGUUUCUCUAACAAUAUUAAUUUGUUCGGUGAAUCUUGGCCGCGCUGCGACUUUGGCCCCUGAUGAAGGUACAAUACAAUAUUCUGCUGGUUCUUGCUUCUUUUUUUUUUUUUUUUCCUCCCCCUGGAAGAAAGUAGUAAUUUUUCAUUUAAAUUUUUUUUGCAGUGGAUGCAUUGAAGCAAAUAGGAAGAACAUUAGGGAAGAUCUGGAAUUUUAAUGUGGAUCCUUGCAGUGAAGGAGGGAAUUGGAGUACCCCUAAUGCACCUAAAGGAUCUGAGAAUGGAGUAACCUGUGAUUGCACUUAUGUUAAUAACACCAUUUGCCAUGUAGUCGGCAUGUAAGUAUAUAUUAAUUUCUUCUCAAUGCAUAAUCAUAUUAAAGGAUCGUGUGAUAUUGCUUAAAAUUGAUUAAAGCUCAUGGAUCCCAUUAGAUUUGUUGGGAAAAAGUGGAUAAAAGUUAUG